rnacentral:rRNA from 1 species
GACAGAGGGUGCAAACGUUGCUCGGAAUCACUGGGCGUAAAGGGCGUGUAGGCGGGAAGGAAAGUCAGAUGUGAAAGCCCUGGGCUCAACCCAGGAACUGCAUUUGAAACUCCCUUUCUUGAGUGUCGGAGGGGAAAGCGGAAUUCCUGGUGUAGAGGUGAAAUUCGUAGAUAUCAGGAGGAACACCGGUGGCGAAGGCGGCUUUCUGGACGACAACUGACGCUGAGACGCGAAAGCGUGGGGAGCAAACAGG